GACAGAGGUGCCGAGCGUUAGGCGGAAUCACUGGGCUUAAAGCGUGUGUAGGCGGAUGCCUAAGUACCUUGUGAAAUCCCCCGGCUUAACCGGGGAACUGCUUGGUAUACUGGGUGUCUUGAGCCACUUAGGGGCGACCGGAACAAACGGUGGAGCGGUGAAAUGCGUAGAUAUCGUUUGGAACGCCAAUGGUGAAAACAGGUCGCUGGGAGUGUGCUGACGCUGAGACACGAAAGCCAGGGG
rnacentral:rRNA from 1 species